CCUACGGGAGGCUGCAGUGAGGAAUAUUGGUCAAUGGACGAGAGUCUGAACCAGCCAAGUAGCGUGAAGGAUGACUGCCCUAUGGGUUGUAAACUUCUUUUAUAUGGGAAUAAAACGUUCCACGUGUGGGAUUUUGUAUGUACCAUAUGAAUAAGGAUCGGCUAACUCCGUGCCAGCAGCCGCGGUAAUACGGAGGAUCCGAGCGUUAUCCGGAUUUAUUGGGUUUAAAGGGAGCGUAGGUGGAUUGUUAAGUCAGUUGUGAAAGUUUGCGGCUCAACCGUAGAAUUGCAGUUGAAACUGGCAGUCUUGAGUACAGUAGAGGUGGGCGGAAUUCGUGGUGUAGCGGUGAAAUGCUUAGAUAUCACGAAGAACUCCGAUUGCGAAGGCAGUUCACUGGACUGCAACUGACACUGAGGCUCGAAAGUGUGGGUAUCAAACAGGAUUAGAUACCCCUGUAGUC
rnacentral:rRNA from 1 species